CUCGAGGAAGGAGGAUGGGACGUAGGAUCAGCAGGAGAAAAAGCCGACCAGCCAUGUGAAAUUUCAGUAAAUCCAGAACCGUGUCUGAAGCAGGGCCACAACCAAACUGGAGAGAGCAGGAAGUUCCGAACAAAACAGAAAAAUGAACUUUGGGGGUUAGUAGAAGAUCAAGAAGGGCGGGCAGGCAGCUACCAGCUUCUCCUUCGGACCCCGAAACAGCCCCAGGAAGAGGUGAGGACAAGAGAGAAGACUUCUCAAGCCUACAAGAGGAAGUGGACCCGAGAGACACGCACAGGUCAGAAAACAAGGGCCUGCAUGCAGCUCAGGGCACAGGAAAUAGGAGGCAGAGCCUCAGGCCAGCGCGGGUGGGGUCAGCCAGAACAGCUUUUAGGGUGGAGCAACUGGGACCUCCAGCAGAUCCUUUCUGUUGGUUCUGAGGCUGCAGCUUGCCUGGGCCUGAGGUACAGGACCCAUGUCUUGACCAGAAACCUCAGCUAUGUCCUGGCAGCCCCGGACUGUGCCAGGCUGCUAGCCAUAGCCAGAUCUGGAGACAUGCACACAAGCCCUGUGCAAAGACCUAACCGAAGAACCUUAAUAGGGGCCCUCUGGAGGCAAAGGCAGGCAGAACUCUGUGAGUUCAAGGCCAGCCUGAGCUACAUCGUGAGACCCUGUCUCAAAACUAGCAAAUGGGCAUACCCUGUACUAGGGCCAGGGGUAGCUUGGUCCUAGAAUCUACUACUACUUCCCAAACCCUUCAAACAAUGAUGGUCUACACAGAGAAAAAUGUCUUGGGAGGUGGGGC
rnacentral:lncRNA from 1 species